AAACAGCAGAUGCCGAUGGAAUCCAAGAAUAAAGUCCUUUAUUGUCUUUCAAGUUGUGAUAGGGCUGGGGACUAGGGCGACUCAGGCGGGACUUCCUGGACCUGGUUGUAGAGGAAAAUAGCGCCUUUGGCCGAGGGGCAGAGCUCAGCCCACAUUUCGGUCUCCUGCAACCUCCGCACGCUCUGUGGGGAGAAAGUAAGACUCCCUUACGUCCAGCCCUCGGGUCUCUUGCAGGGGCCGUGCCCAGUGUUCCUGAGCCUCAGAACCCUCUGCACUUCACCGUCCCUAGGGAGACACGUUAAGGAGGCUGUAGAGGUUCCUGGACCUCUCUUGGGCUGAGGGCAUCCCCAGUGAAGUCUUGUGGCCCUGGAGGAAAGCUCUAAGAUUUGGCGGCUUCAUCUGACCCAGCCCCGGUCAGCCAUAGAUCACCAGGCCUACACAAGCCCCAACACCAGCAGCUUGUCCAAGCAAGAUACAUCUUGCUUCUCCACACCUGUGUUUCCACAAAGAUGAUUCCUGUAGAUUCGUGGGCCUCAGCUCCCCCACUUACGUAGUGCUUCUUCACCUGCUCAGAAGUCAGGCUGCACCUGCACAAGGACAUGAGAGUGGCGUGGGGAGUGCCCAGUCCCUGGAGGGUCCUUGUGGAACCCCAGCUGCCUCAGCCAUUCCCCUCAGCCACCCACCUACCCCAGGACCCAGGACCCUGCACCCCAGAGCUCACUCACUGGACGUAGAACUCGGCACUGGCACGGCCGGCACUGGUCUCAUUGCGGGCAAUGCCCAACAGCCGUGGCUGGCUCAGGGUGUGCAGUGGCACAUUCACCUGGGGCAGGGGGU
rnacentral:lncRNA from 1 species